UGCUAAUCUCCAACUCCGGUUACCAGUGGUAGCACAAUUUCAGGAUACUUAACCAAAGUAAGUACAGCUAGCAAUGUGCUCAUGACGGAACUAGCUGUUUAUUUAUUUAUUUUUUUUAAGAGUGUUACUUGAGUAAUCACUUCAGAUUGUUAGCACAUGUGUCUUAUUUUCGUUAUUUAAUUGUACCAUUCAAAAUUUCCUUUCUUUAUGAUGGGCAGAUUCCAACAAGAAAGCAGGAAAAGAAAAUGUAUACUUUUACACGUUUUGGAGUAUUUUUAAAGUUUGAAAAUAUAAAAGGGAUGAUUUUUAAUAUUUUUUAUUUUAUCUACAUUUCUAAGGAAGUCUGCUGUGGUAAUACAACUUCAUUUUUAACAUUCACAACAUUCUAAGGUUAUUCUUAAGAAUAGGAAAAAAAUGAUAAAAUACAAUUGUCAGGAGUUGUACCAAUAUUUGGUCUGAUUUGUUUGCGGUACUAUUCAGCAUAUACUGUACUCUAUAGUAUACUAUAGGAAGGGCUUGUGAAGUUUUGUUUCUUGUCCAUGACUGGAAUGUCUUGUAACGUGUUACAUGUUAAUUAAGAUGCUUAAUGACAUUGAUUUUAUUCUCUAAGCAAAAGAUAUAUGUGUUUGGUAAAGCGUCUGGCAUGUCAUCCUUAGGGCCGAUUUAUACUUCAUCGCUCAGAGGACGUAUAUGCACACAUCAUGGCUGUCAUGUGUUUCCAGCGUUCAUUUGAUAUGUCCUCUGAGAAUGUCAUCAGAAAUUAAUGAGAUGCUUGUGCGAGUUGCAGUACCAGUACCAGCAAAAUAUUGCGGGGAGGUUUGGGCGAAGUGUGUUCAAGUUGGAACAUGAUGUCAGAGUGUCUCCUACAGGAUCAAUGUGCGUGCUUCAAUGUUUGAUGAAUGGUUUGAUGUGGUGAAGCAAAUCAUCAAACUUAAAUGCUGACCUACAAAUAUACUCGUGGUGCUUUUCUUCAUCUAUUUAUCGCAUAGGUAAUACAAGCGUUGCAUAUUCCCCAUUGUAAUGACGUAAUAUAUUUUAAAGGUCUCGUAUACCAUCUUCUGAGAUUUUUUUUUUUUGUUUUUGCACCUUCUCAACAGCAUCACAAUGUAUAGAAGCAUAUUUGAGUCACAGAGAAAAAAAAUUUGGGACACAGUGAAGAAAAAUAGGUCCAUUUUGUGAGUAAUGUAGAAAUUUCGACUUUAAUCUCUGUUUAUUUUGUCAUUAAAGUAAAAUAUCAUCUUAAAACCGACCCAUUUGUUAAUCACUACAUGCUCCUGGGUCUUCCUUCUGUGCUGACAGCAGUGGCAGGCAGUGAUUACCACACAGAACACAUUAAAUGUAUGAUAUUCCAGCUCUCCGCACAUUUAAAAUCCUUAGAUUUAUACUUAAUAUCACUUUCAUGAUGAAAUGUGUUAAAGCAUGUGUGUUACAUUUUACAGAUAAAUCGUUAACUUCACUUAAAUAAUAAAUACUGUUAAUAAUUACACAUAUGGGGCGGCACAGUGCAGGGGCAGUAGUGCUUCUGCCUCGCAGUAGGGAGUUGCGUCUCUGGUGUUCCAUGACUGGAGUUUACAUGUUUUCCUGGUGGGUUUCCACAGUGUGCUUCAGUUUCCUUCCAAGGAUGUGAAGGUUUCGGGAUUUGGUGAUGCAAAAAUGACACUACUGUAUGUGAGUGCUUGUAUUCACCUUGCAGUAAGCUGAUGCCCCAUACAGGGAUUGUUUCUGCCUCAUGCUCAAUGCUAGCUGGAAUGGGCACUUCCCAGGAUUGAUGGAUAUAAUCGUUAAACAGCCAUCCUUUUCAGAGAUAUUCUGGCAAGGUGUCCUGGGAAUUUAAUGGAUGUUUUGGGCAAUUCACUCCACAGCGAAACCGAACAUUGUUUUCUCACCAUGACGAUAUCUCGUACUACCACCCGAUGGAAUCCUCCAGAUUUACAUAAACGUGAAUUAUAAACCCAGCCUUGGUUUACUAAAGAUAGUUUAUAAGGCAUACUUCUUACUUAAUAAUGUUGACAGUAUGUUACAAAACGCAAUAUAAAUUACACAAUUCAUUCUGAAGCUUUCGUGGCUCCGUGAACCCAAGAGCUAAAUAAAAAAACUUUUAAUUUUAACUGACCAGGGUUACUUUUAUUUUGUUUUUAUAUUAACAGUGCUCAGAAUUGUAAAAUGCAUUGUGGUCAGCAAUGCAGCUUCAAGAAUUCCAUGUUCUUUUAUUUUCGUCCUGGUUGAUUUUCUCCUCCAGAGUUAACAUUGCCAUUUUCUGCCCUGGUGCUGUCUCUUCUGCAUUAAAAUCCCCCAAGAUGUGGAUUUUAGAGCUUACCUGCCUUGAGGAAUCCACAGCUUAGCUUAACUGAUCCUUGAGUCAGGAUGUCGGUACUUGUUUAGAUGUUUCAUGGACCCUGUGGAUGGUGCAAUGGCCAGAGAUCAUAGCAUCGCUCACAUUUUCUCAGGUUUAAGGUUGUUUUAAAGGAGAGAUUGUAUUUUGCACUUGGAUGAUACAAAUUGAAAAUGUGUAUGCAGAGGAUGCAGUUGUCAAACCUGUAGCUCUUACAUAUGGCUUGCUCCUAAAAGAAUGUUCAAAUAAAGCAGUUAAUCUUUUAUAAAAUGAA